UACACGUGGUCCUUACAGGUGCAAAGUCAAGAGGGGGUCUACGUCACGUGGCACGAGAUACGGCACAUAGACAAAUAUAUCGACGGACUCAGAGGGGAUGCCUCUUAUUCGAUUGGCAUUAAAAGGAACAUAUAUGAAGCGAAGCCCAACAUCAGACAGGUCAAGGUGACAUUGGUGGCCAGACGCUUGACGUCUGCGCAGUCGGGCAGUGCGCAGCUGAUACUGCUGGUCAACGACCCGCCCGAUGGAGGCAACUGCUCCGUGAGUCCCACCGUCGCCGAAG